UGGGGGAUAUUGCACAAUGGGCGAAAGCCUGAUGCAGCGACGCCGCGUGGGGGAUGAAGGCUUUCGGGUUGUAAACCUCUUUCGCUAUCGAACAAGGCCCGCUUAGGGUGGGUUGAGGGUAGGUGGAGAAGAAGCGCCGGCUAACUACGUGCCAGCAGCCGCGGUAAUACGUAGGGCGCGAGCGUUGUCCGGAAUUAUUGGGCGUAAAGGGCUUGUAGGCGGCUUGUUGCGCCUGCUGUGAAAACGCGGGGCUUAACUUCGCGCGUGCAGUGGGUACGGGCAGGCUUGAGUGUGGUAGGGGUGACUGGAAUUCCAGGUGUAGCGGUGGAAUGCGCAGAUAUCUGGAGGAACACCGAUGGCGAAGGCAGGUCACUGGGCCAUUACUGACGCCGAGGAGCGAAAGCAUGGGUAGCGAACAGG
rnacentral:rRNA from 1 species